GGAAUUUUGGACAAUGGGCGAAAGCCUGAUCCAGCAAUGCCGCGUGAGUGAAGAAGGCCUUCGGGUUGUAAAGCUCUUUUGUCAGGGAAGAAACGGUGAGAGCUAAUAUCUCUUGCUAAUGACGGUACCUGAAGAAUAAGCACCGGCUAACUACGUGCCAGCAGCCGCGGUAAUACGUAGGGUGCAAGCGUUAAUCGGAAUUACUGGGCGUAAAGCGUGCGCAGGCGGUUUUGUAAGUCUGAUGUGAAAUCCCCGGGCUCAACCUGGGAAUUGCAUUGGAGACUGCAAGGCUAGAAUCUGGCAGAGGGGGGUAGAAUUCCACGUGUAGCAGUGAAAUGCGUAGAUAUGUGGAGGAACACCGAUGGCGAAGGCAGCCCCCUGGGUCAAGAUUGACGCUCAUGCACGAAAGCGUGGGGAGCAAACAGGAUUAGAUACCCGGG
rnacentral:rRNA from 1 species